rnacentral:lncRNA from 1 species
CUCUUCUACCUCACCUCUUGGGCUUUCUUUUUAUAUCAGAAGCCUGAAGUUCAAUUCCUGUUAGAUGAGAUCUGGAAGAAGGUCAGAGAACAGGACUUUUCUAAGUGCAACUUUACUUGCAGGCCAAAGAGAAGUGACUUCAGUUAUUUAGGCAUAAUUUAUGUACCUCUAGUCAUAGACUGCAAUGAAAAUUAGAACACAGAUGGACCCUGUGGGAAGCCUGCAGCCUGUCUACCUCCUGGGUCAUCCUCUUGGCUGUUCACUGCCAGGGAUGCAGCCAUUCCCUGUUCCCACAGGCUCCCAGCCUUGGCUUCCAUGCAGCACUACUGGAGCUGAGGUCUGGAUCCCACCUCUCACUACCUGCCACCUUCGGUACCUUCCACUUCAGGUAGUGGAGCAACCUGCUCUAGUGGAAGGUGUCCCUGCCCAUGGCAGGGGGUUGGAACUAGAUGAGCUUUAAGGUCCCUUCCAACCCAACUAUAAAGUAACAUCAUAUCAGGACACCAACAAUGGAAGGAACCUCUGUAGAUAAUGGACCUGAGUCUUGAAGGAAUGAGCCAUCCCUGUUGUUACAGAAACUGUGAUGUAUCAGAGAGAACACGAUACACUCAACAGCGGUUUAAUGUCUGUUGGUUAUCACAGUAUGAGAUUUUUACUAGGAACUGACUCCACUGCAGAAGCAACAAGUAACUUUCAUCACUCUAAACGGGACAAUUGGGAAGUGGUACUGAUUCGAUACAAACAUACACAGUUUGUCAAAAUGGCAGCUCAUGGAAAAGCAGCUACUAUGAGGAGAAAACCCACUGGCCAUAAGGAAGCUGUGGAUGCUGGUCAGUCUGUACAUCAGAGAGCAAACCCCACGCUGACCGCGCUCACCUGUGAGCUCUGGGAACAGGAACUAGCGAGAAGAGGGAAUAAAUUCCUGAAUCACCUCCCUGAGAUGGUAUUUCCAGCUCCCUCAAUGGCCGUUUUACUGAAGAACUGGAUGGAAGAACCCAAAAUAUACUGCAGGCACCAUAUGUGUGCAAGGAGGGUCUUCCAAAGAAGUGUCCUUAUUUCCUCAGACUCUGCAAUUGU